AACGCACCUUGCACCCUCUGGCAUUCCGGAGGGUAUGCCUGUCUGAGUGUCGUGAACGACCCUCCUGCACAUUUGUGUCCACUUGUGUCCACAAGUGUCCGCUUGUGCGGGGUGUUGGGCGCUGCGGGUCCCCGGACCGGCUCGCCUGAAAUGCAGUGGUGGUGCCGAGGAGGCCCCGAUGCGCCGCUCAAAACGUAAUAACAUUCCGUCGAGAGCGGGCGGCAGCAGGGGCGGGCUCAGCGCGCUGCCUUACAGGGAUGCGGGGCAACCCCAAUCCGUCUACCACACACCGACCUCAGAUCAGGUAGGACUACCCGCUGAAUUUAA
rnacentral:misc_RNA from 2 species